GAUCAGGAACUUUAUCUGGCUAGUAAUCGCAUCUGCUGGCUGGCUUUUCGUCCACGCGUUGGUGUGUGUGCGCGCUCACUCUAUAGAAAGAGCCGUUCCUUUUGGAGAUAUGAGGAGCCAUUGACUGUUUGCCUGCUGGCUGCAAACGAGAGACCAUGGCAGGGUUCUACAAUUGUCUGAAGACAAAAACUGACUGCACGAUGGCAGACCGACCGUUGGAUCUCAUAGAGGGGGAAGAAGCCGGGGAAGAUUUUACAAGGAAGAAAAAAUCCAAGUUCCAAACUUUUAAGAACUUCUUUGCCAAGAAGAAGAAGAACAGAGAGCCGUCUGCCCCUGCGGGAGAAAG